GUUGUUAUGUAAGUGUUUCCUGUUUUUGUGUUUCUUGAAGUUGUUCUUGCAAUGUUUCUUGUAAUUGAAGAAAAUCGUGAUCCAAGUUAUCCUGAAGAGGAAGAUCCAUUUCUAAUCUUGAAUUGAAUUCAACUUUUAAAUUCAUAGAAUUCUGUUGAGGAACAUCAGGAUCAAAGGCGUUGAUCAGAAUUUCAACUAGUGAGAGCGGAGAAUUCUUUGGAUUUAACACCGUGUCUCCAAUUAUAUUGAGCUUCCUGCUUAAACUGUUUGGAAGAAUCAAAUUUCCUGUUUUGUUUCGAAGAAGGCCUUAAAAAAUCUAAGGUCGUUCCAGAAUAUGCAGAAAUGCCUUUUUUACUUCCAAAUAUUUGCAACAAAGUUCGAGAAGCAUGACUGAUUGCUUUGACUGUAUAAUCGGAAAAUCUAUAUAAAAUACAGGCGCCAAGUCCUUCAUUCGAAGCAUCUGCAGCAACAAUAAUCUCAUGUUUUGGAUUAUAAAGUCGAUGAAGAAUACGCAUGUUAUAAAUAAAUCGACCAUAAUAAUUGAUUGCACCAAGAAAUGAUUUUAAAGUUGAUAUGAGGAGCAUAUUUGUGAUUGCUUCUAUUUUUUUUGGAUCUGGAUGUAAAGAUCCACUACCGUCAAUAAUGUAACCAAGCUCCUCCGACUACAAUAUCAUCAAUGUAAGCGAAUACAUUGUUUAAGCCUAAAAUCAUGGAUUCAACUAUUGCUUGAAAUUCUCCAGGGGCAACUGUUACUCCAAAUGACUUAGCUUUUUUACUGGACGCAUAUCCAUCUUUGUGACCGACAGAAUUACACUUUUGACAUGCGAUUUAUAAGUGCAGUCCUUUGCAAAAUGUAAAUUUUCGCAAAACCAGCAAGACAUAGAUGGAACAGAAUUUUUAUCAGAUUUGACCAAAGCUACGGCACCUGAAGCCUCUAAUUUUUUAUUUUGAAUCAGCGAAGUAUCGUGCUUCAAAUUCACAAGCUUUUGACAUUCAAUUGCAAGAUCUUCAAUUGUGAGAGUAUCCGACCUGGUUUCAAUAAGAUUAAGUAACUUCGUACGAAUAUCACCAUCUGUAGAAGAUCGAAGUCUACAAGCUUAAGUUCUUCACAGCGCUUAUUAAUUAAAGCAGCGUAAGCUAAGAAAUCUUGAUUUAAUGAUUUCGUUGUGUUCAUACAAUUCAAUCUUUGAUGAAACAAAGAAAUUUUCUUUUCGAAUAUAUGAGAGUUUCGAAAUUGUAGUUUUUAAAUCAAAAUCUUUGUAUUCUCUUUUGGAAGAAUAAAAUCUAUGUACUGUU
rnacentral:misc_RNA from 1 species